UACGUCAAAAAAUUUAAGAAAUAAUUUGGGAAAGGCGCGCCAUAAGACUUUGGGUUAUAUCGACUGAUAUAGUCACUGUAUGAACGAUGCCAAUUCAUGUGCAAGAUUUCCCAUUUGUGUCAUACCAUUUCAACAGUAUCAUAUUUAGAAAUAAACACAGGUUGUCCCAAAAAUAUGUGUACACAACAGUAACAUUGCUGGCCGCUUGUCAGCUGCGCCACGAAGCUAACGGCGGUCAUUUUGUACACCUAUAUUACAUUUGCUAGCUCACUAAGUUCCAAUUUUUACGUAUUUAAUAUUUUGUUUGUUAACGUGUUUUUAUUUCAUUAAUUUAAUAUGUGAAUACAUCUUCUUGGGGCAGCCUGUUUAUGCAGGCCUCGUGUAUAAUGUACUGACGCCAAACACCACAACGAUCGAAAAUUGUACAAAUGGAUGACAGGUCGGACGACCAAAGUUCGAUUCCCAUCAAAGGAAGUGAGUUUUCUCUUCGACACCGCCUUCAGAUCGAACCGGGGCCCACACAGCUUAUCAAAUGGGUACCGGGGUUUCCUACCACAUGGAAUAUAAUCCAGGAUAUGAAGUUCUUUUUCCAACCAAAGACGGGGUUAAAGCAGGCAAAUCUUUAAACAUAUAUUAAUUCUAUCUUAACGUCAUUAUUCAUGGUGUCGUGCUUAAGGAACAGAUGAACUUUAACUUUUACACUUAUCGGGAAACAGGAGUUCACAUGUCUACAUUAAAGUCCCAAAAGAAUUCACAUUUGUACCUGUUGUCGAUCUAUUUUGUAUUGAGUAUUAAAGUAUUCUUGUUUUCUUUAUUUUAGUGUAUUAAUUUAAGUAUUAUUAAGUCGGUAGGGAUUUGAACCCUUUUCUCUUACUUUCAAGGUAUUUGCAUAUCAUAAAGCUUUCCGACUAUUUUGUUAUCUUAUGAUUGUUAAUGUUUGUCCUGUCAUAGGAAGAAUGGAAGUCGUGCUGAACUUUUUGGAUCAAAUCCACAUUCAAAUUGUGAUCUCUUUUCUCGAUCUUCAAUGUUUUUCUGAUAGAGUUGUUGCUAUUAUUAUAAUAAUUAUUGAUAGUGUUAUAAUAGUUGUAAUUAUUAAUGUUACUGCUUUAAUUAUUUAUCUUGUUAUUUCAAACUUCUUGAUUAGAAGUCAAAUACAUACUUAUUAUAUUAGAUAAAUUUAUUUGUAACAAUUUGAAACACAAUUAAUGUAAGUGCAUGGUUGUACUGUGCAUUUUCAAACGAUAAUAAUCAGAAAUGUUGUUUUAUUUACAAAAUGGCCGUCUAAAUAUGAAAGGAGCAGAUAUUUAAUCAACCUGAAUAGAACAAUAAAUAAAAUGAGACUACGUCAUAAAGGCACGCGUUAUUCGUUUCUUGUUAAUUUCAAAAGUUUCCCUCGAAGGGUCUUAGCCUCCUUACUCAUGGGAGGUUACUUAAACUAUUAAGAUAUGUGGUACGACUCCUUGGACGAGUGAUCAGCCAGUCACAAGGCCGUUGUUAUAUAUUAAAACUUUAAAAAAUUUCGAAUUAUUGUAAGUCAAAGUACUUCGAGCAGAAAUAGUUUCCUCCCCUUAAUUUGUACAAUCUUUACAAGCCUCUAUAUAUAUAUCUCAUCACCUCCUGCUGCAAUCCAUCCUUUAUCCUUUGUGUGAACAAUAUUUGAUAUCUGAAAACUGUGCAAAGAGCAAUGCAAAUCUAGAUUAAAUCCGCCAUGUUAUCCACAGCUAUCGCAUUUUACGGACUGGGUCAUUCUUUAUGAGUUCUUUAAAAAUAUACAUAAAAGCAGAAAAUUCAUUCCAGAAUUUUACUUCUUUAUUUAAAAUCGUAUCUCACUUCCUUCAGAUACCAGCGAGAACAAGACCGAAGUAACAGAUUCGUAUUUCAUGUUUCAAUAAUCUCAGCGAGUACAGAAAGGAACGUUGGUAAUUGCUCGCUUUUCAUUUUCGCAACCCGAGUCACAAAGAAUAAAGGGCAGUCAUGUCGAAGGAACUGGAUGGAUUUUUCAUCUAUUCGUCUUUUUAAAAUUCUUUCGUUUCUCUAGAAUUUUGCGUUUCUCCAACUCAGAUUAUGCGACCAUAAGCUAUCUUCACAGUGUAUAAAGCUAUUCAUGUCCAACCUUGCUCCUUCACUUGGCAACAAUUCAAUUCAUAAACAAAUCACUAUGCAACGCCAUGAAGGAAAAAACUAGAUAAUAUGUCGUGUCACAUCCGGUAACAUUUUAUGUACUUCUUGUAGGUCAUCUGGAAAUAACAUAAAUCUUCUAUUAUAAGCUUUGUACUUUCCUACAAUAAACAAGUGAUUUAAU